UAAGCUUAUUAAAUGCACAAAAAUGAGCAGGAUUGUGGCAGGCCUCCGUUCCCGUGGUUUCAUUUUGUUUACGCUCCAGGCGUCCAUAUCAAUGAAGUUUGGUAUUUUCUCAUUUUUAUUAACUUGUGAACAUGAACAACCUUUGCCUAUUGACAUCAUCCUCGCACUUUGUUUGUUUGCCGGGGUGAUUUACGCUACGGUGGGAAUAUCAUUUUCGGAGAAGAACAACCGCCUUCUGCAAUUACUCGAAAUUAGUGGAGUAGCAAUAAUAUGGAGCGUCAAUUUGUUUCUGUUCUUUUAUACGCCGCUUUACUACGGAUUUUUUCAAAUUCUAUUUUGGAGUUUACUUUUACUAAUUUUGGUUUCGACUCUCUCUAUAUGUAUUAGGUUUAUUCAACAGGAUCCUAACGAAAUUCCGCCUCAGCCCCCGACUCUAAAUAUGAUACACAUGCAGCAGAAUACAAUAAUGGAGAAGCUGGAGGAGAAAAAUAUUCAGAUUAAGUGGCAUAUGAAUGAACAACAAAAAAGCUGGAGGAAAGACUCGACCGACAACAAAAGAAGCUGGAGGAAAGACUCGACCGACAACAAAAGAAGCUGGAGGAAAGACUCGACCGACAAUAAAAUAAGUUGGAGGAAAAACUUGACCGACAACAAAAGAAGCUGGAGGAAAGACUCGACCGAUAACAAAAUAAGCUGGAGGAAAGACUCGACCGACUACAAAAGAAGCUGGAGGAAAAACUCGAGCAACAUAUCAAAAAGGCUGCCAUACUGAAGAUGUAUCCAGCUGAAAUGAUUGUGUGGCUAUAUACUGCUUCUUCGUCAUAUCCGGUCAUCUAUUGUUACUCUGAUUGCAGAAAGGGAUAGAAGUGCAUGGCGAAUCGAAACAAAGAUUGGAUUACUCGCCAUACUCUACUCGGCCAUCAUUAACAUAGCAUAUAGGCUUUAUGUUGCGGCUUGGUGCAUAUGGAAGAGGGGGCCAUUCUUUGUUUCCCUUUUUAAACCAUUGACUAUUGUCAUUGCUGCUGUAAUCGGUGUUGUUUUCAUGGGUGAUGGUCUCUAUGUUGGAAGUGGUGUUGGUCGUUAGAUUCUAUGCUGUGCUGUGGGGAAAAGCUAAAGAAAUGGAGGAAAUUGAUGGGUUGGAAUCAUAAACUCCUUUGUUGCGAUAAUGCUUUGCAGAGAUAGGUAGUUAUGCUGGCAUAAAUUUCAGCUCUCCGACACUGAGUACAGCCAUGUUGAAUCUGGUUCCAGCAUUCACCUAUGCCCUUGCUGUUAUAUUCGGGCUGCCAUAUUGAAGAUGUAUCCAGCUUAAAUGAUUGUAGU